GCAGACUCACUCUGUACCGAACUGCAGGCUUCAGUUCAGGUGCUUUUUCUGUCUGCGAGAGUAGUAGCUCACAGGCAUGACAAAUGCCUUCUUUCUUUUUUGUAGAAGGCUGUUACAAUUGCUUUUGGGACAUGGAU